rnacentral:rRNA from 1 species
GAGUUUGAUCGUGGCUCAGGAUGAACGCUGGCGGCGUGCUUAACACAUGCAAGUCGAACGAAGCGCCUUAUUUGAUUUUCUUCGGAACUGAAGAUUUGGUGACUGAGUGGCGGACGGGUGAGUAACGCGUGGGUAACCUGCCCUGUACAGAGGGAUAACAAUCAGAAAUGACUGCUAAUACCGCAUAAGACCACAGCACCGCAUGGUGCAGGGGUAAAAACUCCGGUGGUACAGGAUGGACCCGCGUCUGAUUAGCUGGUUGGUGAGGUAACGGCUCACCAAGGCGACGAUCAGUAGCCGGCUUGAGAGAGUGAACGGCCACAUUGGGACUGAGACACGGCCCAAACUCCUACGGGAGGCAGCAGUGGGGAAUAUUGCACAAUGGGGGAAACCCUGAUGCAGCAACGCCGCGUGAGUGAAGAAGUAUUUCGGUAUGUAAAGCUCUAUCAGCAGGGAAGAAAGUGACGGUACCUGACUAAGAAGCCCCGGCUAACUACGUGCCAGCAGCCGCCGU